UGGGGGAUAGUUAAACGGUAUAACCGCGGAUUUUGAUUCCGCUAUCCUAGGUUCGAUUCCUAGUCCCUCUGCCA
rnacentral:tRNA from 1 species